CAUGGCUGUCGUCAGCUCGUGUCGUGAGAUGUGGGUUAAGUCCCGCAACGAGCGCAACCCUCGCCUUUAGUUGCCAUCAUUUAGUUGGGUACUCUAAAGGAACCGCCGGUGAUAAGCCGGAGGAAGGUGGGGAUGACGUCAAGUCCUCAUGGCCCUUACGCGUUGGGCUACACACGUGCUACAAUGGCGACUACAGUGGGCAGCGACCAUGCGAGUGGAAGCUAAUCUCCAAAAGUCGUCUCAGUUCGGAUUGUUCUCUGCAACUCGAGAGCAUGAAGGCGGAAUCGCUAGUAAUCGCGGAUCAGCAUGCCGCGGUGAAUACGUUCCCAGGCCUUGUACACACCGCCCGUCACACCAUGGGAGUUGGUUUCACCCGAAGGCAGUGCGCUAACCGCAAGGAGGCAGCUGACCACGGUGGGAUCAGCGACUGGGGUGAAGUCGUAACAAGGUAACCGUAA
rnacentral:rRNA from 1 species